AACACAGGGCUGUGAAUGAGCCCUGUCACUGUGAUCAGGCUCCUCCUUCUGAUCCACCAUCUUAGUGUUGAUGAAGACUAAACUGAGAGACCACAGCCUGCUUUAUACUUGCUGUAGCUCACAGUGACUCAACACUGCAGACAUGAUGCCUCUGUUCAUCUCAGUGCUGCUGGCUGCUAUGUGCCUUGAAUGCAGAGCACAAAAAGAAAACGUGCUGCAACCAAAAGGAGACGUGACCGCUACUGAAGGAGAAGCAGUAACACUUGACUGUCGAUAUAACAGCAGUUCAACAACUUCAUAUCUCUACUGGUACAAACAGGAUGGAAACCACAGCCCCAAAUUCAUCCUGAGCCGCUUUAAACUGGAUGAAGGAAACACAGCAGACGACCACAAGGAGAGAUUUUCAUCCACUCUGAAUUCCACCGUCAGAUCAGUUCCUCUGAAGAUCCAGAAGCUUCAGGUGUCUGACUCUGCUGUGUACUACUGUGCUCUGCAGCCCACAGUGACAGGAAACACCAAAACUCUGUACAAAAACCUUUGGAGCAAAGACAACACAAUACUCCACAACAUCCACUAGAGGGAGUCACACACUGUUACACUUCAAUGGUUUCUUAUGAUCCAGUCUAGAUGCAGUUGACAACAG